rnacentral:rRNA from 1 species
UACGGGGGGAGCAAGCGUUGUUCGGAUUUACUGGGCGUAAAGGGCGCGUAGGCGGCCAGCACAAGUCAGUUGUGAAAUCUCCGAGCUUAACUCGGAACGGUCAACUGAUACUGUGCGGCUAGAGUGCAGAAGGGGCAACUGGAAUUCUUGGUGUAGCGGUGAAAUGCGUAGAUAGCAAGAGGAACACCUGCGGCGAAGGCGGGUUGCUGGGCUGACACUGAGGCGCGACAGCGUGGGGAGCAAACAGG